rnacentral:lncRNA from 1 species
CUUAGCAUACAGCUAAAAAAAUAUGCAUGUUCAUGUGUUAUUUCUGAAAUCCUCUGCGUUCAUAUAGAUACCAGGAAAGUUAGGUUAGAGAUUCGUAUUUUACCAUCGAUUGCAACUUACUAGUAAUCAAUCAUGUCUCUCUUUGGCGAAUCUAACUUAUAAAUAAUCUACUCUGAAUACUUGCAGGUUCUGUAUUUAUGGGACAGUGGACACCUGAGAGUGUAGGUGAUUAUGCAAGUGGAACUAACCAUGUUCUGCCAACUUAUGGGUAUGCGCGUAUGUAUGGUGGGGUCUCUUUAGACUCUUUCUUGAAAUACAUUACCGUGCAGUCUUUGACAGAAGAAGGGCUGAGGAAUCUUGGCCCCUAUGUGGAGAAAAUGGCCGAAGUUGAGGGUUUGGAUGCCCACAAGAGGGCUGUAACCCUCAGACUGCAGGACAUAGAAGCGAGGCAAGUAUCACACUCAAGAUGAUACCAUAUGUGGAUCCCAUUGGUAUCGUAAAAGAAUAAAUAUUGAGCAAUUCACCCGUCAUGCAAAUCUAAGUUAGUUUAUAGUUUGUUGCGGAUCUCAAGAUGAUACCAUAUGUGGAUCCCAUUUGUAUUUGUAAAGAAUAAAUAUUGAGCAAUUCACCCGUCAUGCAAAUCUAAGGUAGUUUAUAGUUACCUUAUUUACAAAAAAAGAACGCGGUCGAUCGGAGUACCCUUCCUCCUUUUUGAGGCUUUUAGGCCUCCGGUCAGUCAGGGGUUGACAUGAGACCGGAUUUUGGGGGGAAUCCAUUCUUUGCCCUGCUGUCUGUGGUAAGUCAGUCUGCUUUGCCUUCUCGCUCGAAUUCUUUUCAAUGUAAUUGAAUUCAAUAUUUGUUGCUGCUUGAGCUCUAUAUUUCCUGCACUCUGAUUUUUAUCCUUAAAAUUGUUGAACUGAAAGCACGCCUGGAAGAAAAAGAAGUAAUGGUAAUGGGUAUCAGUGGAUAAGCGAGUUCAUCUGCUAUAUUUAUUGGAAUAAAUUUAAACCAGAUAUCUGAAAAGAUGUUUUCAUCAAAUCUAGCAGUACUAGACUUGACAGUUGUAUCUUAAUUGGGCUUUCGCCAUGUUUUGUAACAAAAGUCUUAAUGCAGCAAACUUGUAAUGUUUUGAUUAGGUGUAAUUAAAGUGGUGACAAAAGGUUGCUUUUGCUACAGAUAAUGAAGAGCUAAAGUCUCUGAUAUCAUUUAGUAAUUCUUAUCUUGUAAUUGCUUGAAUUUUAAUAUCAUUCAAUAUUAGUAACUUUUACUCAUUAUUCAAUUGAAUUAAAAGAGAAAGAUGUAAAGUUCAAGUCAUGCAUUUUGUUGAAAUUGAAUCAUAGACUCGUGCAUGUUUAGAUUCUACAAAAGGUGUCUUUCUUCACCCUCUUAAGUUGGGUUUUGGGAAUCUUGAACCACUUUUAGUUCUUCCUCCGGUCUAAAUUAC